CGCGGCCUAUCAGCUUGUUGGUGAGGUAACGGCUCACCAAGGCAUCGACGGGUAGCUGGUCUGAGAGGACGAUCAGCCACACUGGGACUGAGACACGGCCCAGACUCCUACGGGAGGCAGCAGUAGGGAAUCUUGCGCAAUGGGCGAAAGCCUGACGCAGCAACGCCGCGUGGGGGAUGAAUGCCUUCGGGUUGUAAACCCCUUUCAGCAGGGACGAAAAUGACGGUACCUGCAGAAGAAGCUCCGGCCAACUACGUGCCAGCAGCCGCGGUAAUACGUAGGGACCAAGCGUUGUCCGGAAUUAUUGGGCGUAAAGAGCUCGUAGGCGGUUCAGUAAGUCGGGUGUGAAAACUCAAGGCUCAACCUUGAGACGCCACUCGAUACUGCUGUGACUUGAGUCCGGUAGAGGAGUGUGGAAUUCCUGGUGUAGCGGUGAAAUGCGCAGAUAUCAGGAGGAACCCCAGCGGCGAAGGCGGCACUCUGGGCCGGUACUGACGCUGAGGAGCGAAAGCAUGGGGAGCAAACAGGAUUAGAUACCCUGGUAGUCCAUGCCGUAAACGUUGGGCACUAGGUAUGGGACCAUAUCAACGGGUUCCGUGCCGUAGCUAACGCAUUAAGUGCCCCGCCUGGGGAGUACGG
rnacentral:rRNA from 1 species